UACGAAGGGGGGCUAGCGUUGCUCGGAAUUACUGGGCGUAAAGCGCACGUAGGCGGCUUUCUAAGUCGGAGGUGAAAUCCUGGAGCUCAACUCCAGAACUGCCUUCGAUACUGGAGCUUGAGUCCGGGAGAGGUGAGUGGAACUGCGAGUGUAGAGGUGAAAUUCGUAGAUAUUCACAAGAACACCAGUGGCGAAGGCGGCUCACUGGCCCGGUACUGACGCUGAGGUGCGAAAGCGUGGGGAGCAAACAGG
rnacentral:rRNA from 1 species